rnacentral:lncRNA from 1 species
CACAUAGCACCAGCCUGCUUGUAAUGUAUUGAAGUUAGUUAACGAGCGCGUGUGAGACCGUGUGACCGCUUGAAGUUGUGUGUACGACGUGUGAGGUUGUGGCGCGCUAGCAUGCCUAUUUAAGGGGGUGUUUCCACUUGGAUUAAAAGUCGCGGAUUAAGGUAUUUUUAAGCCGCGCCAAUCCACCGCUAAUCCGUCGGAGUGUUUCAUACGUCUGGAUUAAGAAACGGAUUGAAGUACGACACUUGCUCAUUCCGUGCAUAAAAUGCAAAAACGAGUAUUGCCAGACAUUUAAAAGACUAUCGAGUAUCAACAUGAAGGCCUUGUAGCACCUUUGAACGACACCCACGGUGUGGUGCAUAAUGCCGAACAAGAAGCACAAAGCUUCCACAAAACUAGGAACACCUACAGCCUUUAUAAAGGAUAACCUUCCAACCUAUCACUCAGGCUUUUUAUGAGGCGUCGUGAAAAGUGUUAAUCCGAGAUUGUCAAUUUGAUACCUGGUGGCCACCAGGUAGCAAAUUUUUCGCACCAAGUUUGAGCUUUUAGUAUAAGCAGAAAGCUCGCAUUUCAUAGCAUAUUAAUCUAUAAUUAAUCCGCGAAGCGCGUGAAUACGGACGGAAAUCCCUAACUAAUCGCGCCAACCUUAAUCCGCCUAAUCCGUCUAAUCCGCGCGAUGUUUCCAUAUGCGACGGAUUAAGCCUUAGUCCGCGACUUUUAAUCCAAGUGGAAACACCCCCUAAGCAGACCAAAAUAUGAACAUUGUAAGUCUAAGUUGAGAUUGAAAUCCGAUUCUCUGUGCAUACGCAAGUACUUCGGCGAGUAAAGUCAGCUAAGCUUCCCAAUUGCGAGGAGCGGUCUGGUUCCCUUUCAAUUGGUAUCGAGAUUGGAAGGGAACCAGAACCAGCAAUUGGGAAGCCUAGCUGACUUUACUCGCCGAAAUACUUGCGUAUGCACAGAGAAUCGCAUUUCGAUCUCAACUUAGACAUACAAUGUUCAUAUUUUGGUCUUGCUUAAAUAGGCAUGCUAGCGCGCCACAACCUCACACGUCGUACAAGUUCAAGCUCCGCUAGCUCCGAAGUUACGACACGGUCUCACACGCGCUCGUUAACUAACUUCAAAACAUUACACACUCCCCUUCUUAAACACAAACACUGGCCUCGGUGCGAAGGGAAAGUAUUAAGAAUCAGUAAGCGGACAUAGUCGUGCGCCUCUCCGAUUCCCUUAAUGAUCGGUACCAGGCUAACGGGGGAAGGCAAAAGGGAACCGAAUUAAGGCAAACCCUUCCACGCACUGGAUACCGGCCUAAAGUGGCGCACGACUCCUAGCUUAUCCGGUUGAAGUAUCCGGAGACACGCACACAAGGUGCUACGAAAACGACGAUAAUCUGUACUACACGGAAUCCAAAUGCCCAUACACGACAAAUCACAAUACCAAACCGACAUCAGACCGACUGGUAGAACUCAACCAGCAGGAACAGAAUGAAGAUAUAAACACGGACAUACCGAACACACAUGAUGACACACACACAUCCAGCCACAGCUCUAUUCUGCUAAAAACUGUACAAUCCUUGGGGCGUGCUCCAGGAACUUGGUUCUGAACCACGCAUAGCGAUCUGAUAACCUCAACGCGGUCCAGCUUGGGCUCCUCAGGAAGGCACGAAGCGCUGGUAGGUUAUGCACGUCGUCGUAUGGUUCCCAUGAGGGGUCGCGCCUGCUACCUGUGGACCACCGCACAAGGAACAUGACGGACGGACGUGCGCGCUUGUUGUACCCUAGGCAGACAGCUAUAACGAUAGUAUCUGCACUGUCAUAGGGAGAUUCUAGUGCAGUAGGGGCUGCAGGUGGGGGUGGUGGAAAGAGCACUGGAUCGUUGUCAGUCCAGGGGAGAAGGCAGCUGAUGUGGAAUACUGGAUGCAGGCAGUACGGGGAAUGGGGAAUGACAGUGUUGCCAAUAGCGAUGGUGCUGGUGCGCCAGUCAACUUGGGGGUUGUUGGUAGUAAGCCAGGGUUUCCCAAGGAUGACGUUGUAUCUGUCAAUGUCGCGGGUGAAGGUGGUGCACUCCUGGUGAGAUUGGAUGGCCAGAGAGGAGGGUGGGGGCGCAGAGGGUGCGGUGUCCAUUGGCCAAACGAACGCGAAACGACUGCGAUGCUAGUGGUGGAGGUUGUGAGAAGUGGGUGAUAAGAUAAGCUACGUGGGAUCGAGGUGAUGGAGGGUGGUCCGGUGGUUGGGGUGGGGGUGCUAGAUGGGGAGUGGAGAAAUGUUGGAUGAGGGUUCUAACAGAUGUGGAAGGUGGUGACGGAUGGUUUGUGGAAGAGGGUGACAGAUGGUUUGUGGAAGAGGGUGACAGAUGGAACGAGGUGAAAACGGGGUGAAGGGUGGUAUCAGUGAGCAGGGUAGCGGAUGUAAAUGUGAGAGUAAAAGGAUGUAAUCAUUAUUCGCUUGGCAUGCUCACUUCGUUGUAGAGGCUGCACCUGCACGAGCACGCUUGCGGCCGACACGACGGGCAGGCUUACAUGCGAUUCUAGCAAGACCAUGAACGUUAAACGCUACGUUGUUGUUCGUAUACACAGCAGACGACGUCGGCAGGCUGUAGCUGACCAUAUCUGCUGACGACGGCCUAGUGGCCGGUUUAACGCUGGUCUGGGGAUCGGUUGCGGAUGGGUGACUUCGCGUCUGCGAUAGCUGCGGGAAUCGUCGUGCUGUCGUCGGAGGGAAUGUAGGUCUUCAGAAAUGGACGACACGGAGGAGCGGGUUAGCGAGCGGGCGGGUGAACGGGGCGGCGAUACAUCGGGAAGCGUAGGAAGGGCUCCAUAGACGGUUCGCUCGAGUUUGGUGGCGGUGGAAGCCAUGGUUGUGAAAGAAGACGACGAUUUCGACGAUGACGAUGUCAGCGAGGUCGAUGAUGACGACGAAGACAAAGACGAUGGCGAUGACGACGAAGACGAUGACGAUGACGAGCAAGGCGAGGAGGAUCACCUAGGCUCUGAUACCAAUUGGAAGGGAACCAGACCGCUCCUCGCAAUUGGGAAGCUUACUCGCCGAAAUACUUGCGUAUGCACAGAGAAUCGGAUUACAAUCUCAACUUACACUUGCAAUAUUCAUAAUUUGGCCCGCUUAAAUAGUCAUGCUAGCGCGCCACAACCUCACACGUCGUACACACAAGUUCAAGCUCCGCUAGCUCCGAGUUUACGACACGGUCUCACACGCGCUCGUUAACUAACUUAAAAACAUUACACUGCUUUCUAUCGGGCUUCAGGUGGAUCAGACUAUGAAGGAUAUGAUGCUAGCGAUAAAGCGAUAAAGGCAGGGUAAAUGGUUAUGGGCCCCCGCCUGCUACUUCCGUAUUAUUUUUUAAUAGUUUGCUUUGCGUCGCACGAGCAUAGACUGGUUUUUGCAUUUGCUAUACAACGACUCGUUGGACGUGCUAACAGUGUGUGAUAUAAAUGGUAUCGUGUCAUAUUCGCUGGUAAAGUAUGUGCAACGCACUUUUCGGCUGGCUAUUAAGUGUGUGCCGUCCGUCCAAUUUGGACGUUGUGCGUUCGGAGGCGUAAAGUUUAGGUUUUUGGUUAAUUUGCGGGAUGAUGACAUUUCGCUCGGUUGCGUAUGCUUGGUGGUGUUGUCGGUGACGGCACAGUUUGUUUGGAUGGUCGCACCAGCAUAUUCGUGCAUGUGUGCUACAGCAGACGCAUGAGAUGUUGUCGAAAGGCACAUGCCAUUUGCUGUUACAGGUAACGCGAGAUUCUCCGGUCGAAGAAAGCCCGUCAAGCAGAAGGCCCCCCUUUAAGGAUAAGACCAGCAACGACAAGUCAUAAACGGAGAUAGAGGGUAGGACACAAGGUCGGGGAGAGCAAUUCUUUGGACUGCCCCGGUCACACAAUUCCUGUGCUUCCCUAAUUCGACGCCCCGAACAGGCCAAUUCUGAUUGUCCGAAUGUCCCUGCCAGGCCAAUUCGACACCCCGACAGGCUAAUUCUGACUGUCGGAAUGUCCCUGCCAGGCCAAUUCGUGUCCCUGUCAGGCUAAUCCUGACUGUUGGAAUGUCCCUGCCAGGCCAAUUCGUGUCCCUGUCAGGCCAAUUCAAGGGCCUGUCCCGGCAAUUUAACUUGUCCCAGGUGUAGACCCCGUGCCAAUUUCAACCCUUCUAUCGAGCAAUUUCGACCAAUUGCGGGGUCGGCCCGGAACUCUCAGGCAGGCAUCCAGAAUCGCGGUAGUUGAAGGAACUUACGAAACUUUAUGGAACUCUGUAACUACUGUGUUGGUUAUGAUUCUGUACAUGGGCCAGGAAGUGGCAGGAACCCUACAUGCCUGGUUACCGUUCUCGGUUCUCAUUUCAUUCAUACAUUCAUUGUGUGUGUGUGUGUGUUCGACGAAAAGAUACCACCACCCGAACCGACCCGAACCAGUGGCAGGGCGAGACGCCACAACGUAAAACCCCUUUCAUUCGUUCAUUCAUUCAUUCAUUCAUUC